GCGAUGAAAGAAAGAAGACGAGAUCGAAAACCGCCAUGGAUUCAUCGGUAAACAGAAGCCGGUGGCGAAAGCGAAGCCAACGAAACAAACCGCUCCUCUUCUCAAUCUCCCUCCUCUUCCUCCUCUCUCUCCUCCUCCUCCUCCUCCUCCUCCUCGUCUCCUCCAAAACCCUAACAUCACUCAUCCCCUUCUCUCCCAAAACCCUAGCUCCCAAAUCGAAGAACCCCUGCGAAACCCUAGCCCUAGCUGGAGAGAGAUUUCUGUGGUACGCUCCCCACAGUGGGUUCAGUAAUCAGCUGUCGGAGCUCAGGAACGCCAUCUUGAUCUCUGCGAUCCUCAACCGGACGCUGGUUGUCCCGCCGGUGCUCGAUCAUCACGCGGUGGCGCUCGGGAGUUGCCCUAAGUUUAGGGUUAAGGGCCCGGCUGAGCUUCGGGCGGCGGUUUGGGAUCAUAUCAUGCAGCUCGCCGAAGAGCGAAGGUAUGUGUCAAUGGCCGACAUUAUUGAUUUGUCUUCAAUAACAUCUUCCAAGGUCAGGAUAAUUGAUUUUAGGGUAUUUGCUUCUCUAUGGUGCGGUUUAAAUAUGGGCAAUGCUUGCUUUGGUAGUUUAUGUUGUGCUAUAUCUGGUGAUGGAUCCUUGUCAACUAACUCCAGUCCAUGCAGAUCAUUGCUCUCUGGAUCACAAGGUAACGUUAAUCAUUGUAUUUAUGCUUUAGAAGAAGAUUGUAGAACAAUAGUUUGGACGUACCAACAAGAAAAUGAUGGGAUGUUAGAUAAAUUUCAGCCUGACAGAGAAUUGCAGAAGAAAAAAAAGAUCUCUUAUGUUAGAAAGCGUAGAGAUAUAUUUAAGGCUCUGGGGCCUGGCUCUAAUGCUGAAACAGCAACAGUUCUGGCUUUGGGGAGUGUUUUCUCUUCACCUUAUAAAGGCUCGGAGCUUUACAUUGAUAUCCAUGAAGCACCAAGAGACCCUUUUAUACAGUCGUUGAUUAAGAAAACUGAGUUCCUACCAUUUUCUCCCGAGGUAAUUGCUGCUGGAAAGGAAUUUGCUGUACAGAAUAUAAAAGAACCGUUUUUAUGUGCACAGCUUAGAUUGCUAGACGGGCAGUUCAAAAACCAUUGGAAAUCCACAUUUUCAGCACUUAAACAGAAGAUACUAUCAUUGAAAGCCUCGGGUCCAAUUCACAUUUUCAUAAUGACAGAUUUACCAACAAUGAACUGGACUGGAACUUAUCUUGAAGAACUCAAGGAAGACACAAAGUCCUACAAGUUGUUUACACUGCGGGAAAGAGAUGACUUGAUAGUUCAAGCUGCAAAGAAACUCAUGGCAGCUGAAAAUAGCUUGAAGUCCAGUUUUCUUCCGAGAAAUCUUGAUGGAAUUAAAAAGAAAAGAGAUUGUGAUCGUGUAAUGCUACCGGAUGUUUUGCUGUAUGUUGAGGAGACUGUUUGUAGCUGUGCUACAAUGGGAUUUGUUGGGACUGCUGGAUCGACUAUAGCAGAGAGCAUAGAGAUAAUGAGAAAAAACAAUGCUUGCGAAUUGUAGAGAUAAAAUAUCCUCCUCUAUAGUUGGAGAUUUUUGACAUUGGAGGGUAUUGAUGUUUACAUAGAGGACAUUGGGAGGCUUUUUACAGUCUGAUGAGUAAUUGGUAUCUCUGAAGAAAGUUUUCUGGCUUUUCUUAAAGAUGCAAAAUACCAGUGGAAAAAGGAGCUGAUAUCUGAGAUUUCUCACUCGAGGUAGCUACACCUAAUAUUGGUGCUGACUAAUUUUUCCAAAGUCUGAAUUAUGGAGAAGAACCACAAUCUUUUUCUAGUUAAUUGCUAGAAAGGUAGCAAGAGAUUGGGAAGGAAUUUCAAAUGUUCAUCAAGCAAAUAAUGCUAGAAUUUGGAUUCUCUGGAAUAGUGAUAUACUCUCAGUUCAAUACCUGCGAAGCUCUUGUCUUAUCUUUUCUUUGUGAUUUGGUCCUCAUAUUACAGAUGCAACCCUUUAUACUGUGGAGAUGUAAUCAUUUGUAUUUUAUAGACAAUUGUAUUUAUGCUCAUG